rnacentral:rRNA from 1 species
CGGUAGCUAAUACCGCAUAACGUCGCAAGACCAAAGAGGGGGACCUUCGGGCCUCUUGCCAUCGGAUGUGCCCAGAUGGGAUUAGCUAGUAGGUGGGGUAAAGGCUCACCUAGGCGACGAUCCCUAGCUGGUCUGAGAGGAUGACCAGCCACACUGGAACUGAGACACGGUCCAGACUCCUACGGGAGGCAGCAGUGGGGAAUAUUGCACAAUGGGCGCAAGCCUGAUGCAGCCAUGCCGCGUGUAUGAAGAAGGCCUUCGGGUUGUAAAGUACUUUCAGCGGGGAGGAAGGGAGUAAAGUUAAUACCUUUGCUCAUUGACGUUACCCGCAGAAGAAGCACCGGCUAACUCCGUGCCAGCAGCCGCGGUAAUACGGAGGGUGCAAGCGUUAAUCGGAAUUACUGGGCGUAAAGCGCACGCAGGCGGGUUUGUUAAGUCAGAUGUGAAAUCCCCCGGGCUCAACCCUGGGAACUGCAUCUGAUACUGGCAAGCUUGAGUCCUCGUAGAGGGGGGGUAGAAUUCCAGGUGUAGCCGGUGAAAAUGCCGUACAGAUCUUGGAGGAAUAACCGGUGGUCGGAAGGCGG